CUUUCCUACGGGACGCAGCAGUGAGGAAUAUUGGUCAAUGGUCGGGAGACUGAACCAGCCAAGCCGCGUGAGGGAGGAAGGUACAGAGUAUCGUAAACCUCUUUUGUCAGGGAACAAAGACUGGGACGCGUCCCCGGAUGAGUGUACCUGAAGAAAAAGCAUCGGCUAACUCCGUGCCAGCAGCCGCGGUAAUACGGAGGAUGCGAGCGUUAUCCGGAUUUAUUGGGUUUAAAGGGUGCGUAGGCGGUUUGUCAAGUCAGCGGUAAAAAUUCCGGGCUCAACCCGGUCCCGCCGUUGAAACUGGG
rnacentral:rRNA from 1 species